AUUGAACGCUGGCGGAAUGCUUUACACAUGCAAGUCGAACGGCAGCACGGACUUCGGUCUGGUGGCGAGUGGCGAACGGGUGAGUGAUACAUCGGAUCGCGUCCUGUAAUGGGGGAUAACCUGGCGAAAGCCAGGCUAAUACCGCAUACGUCCUGAGGGAGAAAGCGGGGGAUCGCAAGACCUCGCGUUAUAGGAGCGGCCGAUGUCGGAUUAGCUAGUUGUGGGGUAAAGGCCUACCAAGGCGACGAUCUGUAGCGGGUCUGAGAGGACGGCCCGCCACACUGGGACUGAGACACGGCCCAGACU
rnacentral:rRNA from 1 species